UACAAAGGAUAUCAAUUAUAUUGAAAUGCAAUCAUCAAAAUAUAUUAAAAACCUAAUUUAUAUGCUUCUUUAUUAAAGCAUGACAUGACAACAGCUAGUGGUGUGCCUAAAAGUUUAUGGCAGUGGGAAACAUAAAUGGUACUUUGAGAUACUCGUGACGAUUGUGAUGCAAUAUCAAAAUGUCUGUGACAUCUAUUGUUCACAAUGUCACAGGUAAUGCUAAUACCACUGUGAAGUGCUCACUACUUUCAAAGUGAAAAGAAACACUUCAUUUCAUUUAGCAUUCCCUUUAAAAAGGGAUUUGUCGAUCGUGGAGUCAGUGUAAGGUUAGGCUGUGUAUCUGAGACCUUUCUUCCUUCUUUAGGAAGGCCUGGAUUGCUAUAUACUUCCCUCUUAUGACCGCCUUUGCUGUGUCCCAGAGGUUUUGAGCUGUAGUGUUAUCAUUUUCAUUGGCUUCCAUGUACUUUUUAAUUUCCUCUUUAACUUCUUGGUUAGCCCAUUCAUUCUUUAGUAGGGUGUUCUUUAGUCUCCAAGUGUUUGUUAUCUUUCCAAAUUUUUUCUUGUGGUUGAUUUGGAGUUUCAUAGCGUUGUGAUCUGAAAAUAUGCAUGGUAUGAUCUUGAUCUUUUUGUACUUGUUGAGGGCUGAUUUGUGUCCCAGUAUGUGAUCUGUUCUGGAGAAUGUUCCACGUGCACUAAAGAAUGUAUAUUCUGCUGCUUUAGGAUGAAAUGUUCUCAAUAUAUCUGUUAAGUCCAUCUGGUCCAGUGUCAUUCAAAGCCAGUUUUCUUGUUUAUUUUCUGUUUAGAUGAUCUGUCCAUUGCUGUAAGUGGGGUGUUAAAGUUCCCUACUAUGAUGGCAUUAUUAUCAGUGAGUUUCUUUGUUUGUGAUUAAUUGAUUUAUAUAUUUGGGUACUUCCACAUUUGGAGCAUAAAUGUUUACAAUUGUUAGGUCUUCUUGGUGGAUUGACCCCUUAAUUAUGAUAUAAUGCCCUUCUUCAUCUCUUGUUAUAGUCUUUAUUUAAAGUCUAGAUUGUCUGAUAUAAGUAUGGCUACUCCAACUUUCUUUUGUUGACCAUUCUCAUGAUAGAUGGUUCUCCAUCCCCUUACUUUCAAUCUGAAGGUGUCUUUAGGUCUAAAGUGGGUCUCUUGUAAACAGCAUAUAGAUGGAUCUUGUUUUCUUAUCCAUUCUAUUACCCUGUGUCUUUUGAUUGGAGCAUUGAGUCCAUUGACGUUUAGAGUGAUUACUGAAAGAUAUGAAUUUAUUGCCAUUAUGUUUCUUGUAGAGUUGGAGUGUCUGCUGGUGUUCUCUGAUCCUUUCUAGUCUUUGUUGCUUUUGGUCUUUUUUUGUUGUUGUUGUUCAUCUUUUCUCCCCUCAGAGAGUUCCCCUUAAAAUUUCUUGCAGGGCUGGUUUAGUGGUCACAGACUGCUUAAUUUUUGUUUCUCUGGAAAACUUUUACUCUCUCCUUCUAUGUUCAAUGACAGCCUAGCUGUAUAAAGAAUUCUUGGCUGCAUAUUUUUCCGAUUCAGCACAUUGAAUAUAUCCUGCCACUACUUUCUGGACUGCCAAGUGUCUGUGGAUAGGUCUGCUGCAAACCUAAUCUGUCUUCCUUUGUAGGUUAAGGACUUUUUUUUUCCCUUGCUGCUUUCAUGUUUCUUUCCUUGCCACAAAUUUUUUGUGAAUUUGACUAUGCCUUGUUGAUGGUCAGUUUUUUGUUGAAUCUAAUGGGAGUCCUCUGUGCUUCCUGGAUUUUGAUGUCUUUGUCUUUCCCCAGGUUAGGAAAGUUUUCUACUAUGAUUUGCUCACAUAACCCUUCUACCCCUAUUUCUCUGUCUUCAUCUUCUGGGACCCUAUGAUUCUAAUGUUGUUCCUUUCUAAUGAGUCACUGAUUUCUCUAAUUCUUAAAUAGUGCUCUUUUGCCUUAGUCUCCCUCUUUUUUUCUGCUUCAUUAUUCCCCAUAAGUUUGUCCUCUGUAUUGCUGAUUGGCUGCUCUGCCUCAUCCAUCCUUCCCACUGUGGCACCAUUAAAAGGUUGCAGCUCAGUUAUAGCAUUUUUAAUUUCAUCCUGACUAGCUUUUAUUUCUUUUAUCUCUGCAGAAAGGGAUUUUAAUCUAUUUUUCACCCCAGCUAGUAUUCUUAUUAUCGUGAUUCUAAAUUCUGGUUCAGACAUCUUGCUUGUAUCUGUGUUGGUUAAGUCCCUGGCUGUCGUUUGUUCCUGUUCUUUCUUUUGGGGUGAAUUCCUUUAUUUUGUCAUUUUGAAGAAAGAAAAGGAAUUAAUGAAGCAAACAAUUUUUUAAUUAAAAAAAUUAUAAUUAAAAAAUUAAAAUUAAAAAAUUAAAAACAACACACACCAAAAAAAUCAAAUAAAUGAUGCUAGUUCCUAGGUGUGUUUUCAUCUGGGUGUUGAAAGAGGCUUCAUAGAUUAGAGAAAAAAAGGGAAAAAGAAAAAAAAGUGUUUGAAAAUUUGAAAAAAUGAAUACAAUGAAAUGGAAUAAAAUGAAAUGAUGGAAACAAAAUAGAAUUUGAAGAAUUUACAAAAAAGUAAAAAAUAUAGUAGAAAAAAAUUAAAGAAAAAUAUUUUUAAUAAAAAUUGAAAAUAAAAAUAAAUUUUUUCCCUUUCUGUAUUCAAGAAAAAGAAAAGAAAAAAAAAGAAAAUUGAAUAGAUGGACCAGCAAACAGACUUGAAAUACGAUUGAAAUUACAUUGUUUUCUUCUAGAAGUCAAACUAUGAAGCACUUUAUAGUCCAUAAACUAAGCAGGAGGAGAGAUUUGAGGUGUUCCUGAAGAGCCGGGUUGGACCAGUCGGUUGGGCUUAGUGUAAUGGUUCCAUUCUCCACUAGAUGGCGCCGCUUAGCUUACUAGGGUGGAUUGUUGUAGCGCUUGUAGGUGUGUGUGCGUGCAUGCGCGGGAGCGGUGAAAAAUGGCGUCACCCAGCUCCCAGUCUCUAGUAUUGGAACUCCGUUCUCUGCGAUCAGCAAUUGUGCACCCGUCCUCCAUCUCUGGCUUCCAUCCACUUCCCGCUUUUACCCUGUCGGUGACCAAGCCGUCAGGUUGCCAGGCAGCACCUCCCUCCUGAGUUUUAUCUCAGAUGCGGCUGUUUUCCCUACCCGUGCUUCUGAGGGACUGCAGCUAUGACCAGUUCUACCCCUUUACGGGAGGGUCUCAUCGAGCAAUGGGCAGGUGCCAGCCACACCCAGGAACGUUUGAGACUGCGCUGCUGCCAAUACCCAGAAACUGCGGCGGGCUGCCAGCCCACCCCAGAAAAAGUUCACACGAUCGUCUGGCAGCAGUCUUUCAGGGAUUAUGGAAAAUCACAACACACAUCUGGCACCAGGAUUCUCUCAUAAAAACCUUGUUCCACCACCAACGGCUGUGGUUGUUCUCCAGGAUCUGCUGGUACCUUUGCCUGUGGGGAGUACUCCCAGAAGAGGAACCGCUUCUCCCCAUGUGGCCCAAAGACCCUGGACUUCACUCUGCUCCUGGGGAUUCGCCCUUCUCACCAGAGCACCGCCAGAAUCACAUCAUCAUCACUGGAAUUCUCUUCACAGAAGAACCCGCUGUCUGGCUGUUGGGAAACCAAGCACUAUUACUGCAGCUUCUCGCUGGACUACACUGACAGCAUCUCUCUUCAGCCAUGCCUGCAUUUACUCCUUCUGUCCCCAGGCACCUUGGUGCUCAUUCAAUAGCACACCUGGAAGUGUGAUCAUAGGAACGUCCAGGCCAGAGAGGCAGUCAGAGUCAUCUACCAACGCGCUCAUCAUACAGUCACCAUUCUUUGGCUGCAGUCAACAGAAACCAACUCCAGCUAAUUUACUGGAAGAAUAUAGGGUGGCUCACAGACUUGAAGAAAAAAAUGAAGACUAAGUCUUUGGAAAAACACAAACCAGGACAGCUAUGGGGUUCCACAAAGCAAGAACUAAUGAACCACCUCUUUGAGACACGAAACUAAAAGAAUUCCAGUGGUUUUCAGGCUCUACAAGUUCCCAGAGAUGGGGCCUUUGAUUGGUGUAGCUUGGCUUACUGCUUACCUCUCUGCUACCUGAAGGGGGAGCCUGUGAACUGACAGCCCAUUAGGACAGUGCCCAAUGGGGCAGGGGCUCAUCCCCCAAAGUAAAAUUGAAGCACUGUUAACAGAAGAAGAAUGAAAGGUCCCUAGGCAGGCAAAACCCACCGAUAUCCACAGAAGGCAUCUGAGGAACCAGGAAAAUUAGGAACAGGAAGAAGAAGAUCUGUACUUGGGGUUUUCUCAAAGCCUCCUGAUGCACUCUCCUUCUUCCUUCCAGCUCUAUAUCUAACCUACAGUCAUUGCUCCUCUAUUUUUCAAUUUUAUGCUGAUGCAGAUUAUGUAGAAUUAUAGAUGGUUUGCCAUCAGUUUCUCAUUGCACCAAAAUCAGUAAGAAAAUAUUCAAAAAUUGGGGGAAGUAGGAGUGGAAGAAUCAAUGGCACCUGAGUAAAACAGAGACAAAUAAAAGCAUGGUUUGCCAUGUCUGCACUUAAACAAGUAUUUUGCUAAGUCUGUAUUUGUACAGGCAAUGGUCACAGUUCACUGAUUUACCAAGUCUGAUUCCAUGGAUAAAUUGGUCUCCUUUUGUUUAAUUCAUCAAGUGACUUCUAAUUUAUAAUGUUUCUCCCUUUGUCUCAAUAUGACAAGAGGUCUUGAAGAACCCUUACACAGAAAUGUCAAAUUAUUUGGAUGCUCACGAUGUAAAAGCACCCUCUGCAUUCUGAAUAAUUCUUUUCAAGAAAUAUGUGUUGAAUGCUUGCCAUGUACCAGGUGCUGGACUCAGUAAAGAUGUCUUGCCACCAAGAGCAGCCCAAAUUUGUUGGAUCUGCUGCAUGUACCCUGAAUGGAUUAGAUGCUGCCUUUCCUGCUUCUCCUCUGCCCACCAUAGGUCAUGAUGCCUGCUUAGCAACACCUAGUGGUCAGCAGAGGGAACUGUCUGAAUCAAUGACGUGUUUUGGUCUUCCUUCUCUUACCAGUUAAAGCAAAUGCUCUUCUGCCCUGUCAGGUCCCAUUUCCAGACCAAAUGAUUACAACCUCUUUUCAUAUCUUUUUCAUGUAUGUGUGUCUAGAUUACUUUUAAAAAUCUCAUUUUGUCCCCCUGUUAAUUCUCAUAUUUGACCAAAACCUUGGAAACAUUCUUAUAGUACCUUUCAUCCCAGGAAAAUUUGACUUCGGAGUGAGCAAAAAAGACAGCUGCAUAUCUCCAAUGGUCUCUCAAAACAAAAUAAUAUUAAAUCUAAAUUUUCCCUACUUCCUUUAUUUGGGUUCAAAUAAUAUGAACAGGAACAGAAUUUAACCCAACUUUAACUUUGAAAUAUAUAGAUCCCUCUUUUUAAGGACAACAAGUAAACAGAAAAUUCAGCAGAUGUGGAGAGAGUUGAUGCUGCAAAGGGAACGCAUUCAUGAAGAAGCUGGACCCAGUCCGGUGCAAUCACAAAGCCCCUACUUUUUCUCAGUGCUUCUCACUCUGACAAUCCAUUCUUUCUGAGCCCAUUGGAUGAAAUCUUGGUCAGUUUCCACAUAUUUCCCAAGAACUCUUAGCUUAAAAAAAAAAUCUAAAUCAGUCUAAUGAUCAUAUAAGUCUAGUCCAGUGUAAUAUAAAAUACUCCAAAUACUCUUUUUGUAGUUGACAGUCUUCCCUCACUGCCAGUUUGAAAACUGGAAUGAAAGGGGAAGAUUAAUUAUCAGCUUCUCACCCUGUCCUAUCUCCUUCUCUAACCCUAUUUGCUAAGUUGGACUUUCCGAUCUCUCCAGGGUCUAAGGGACAGAUGUACAUGGUGAAAGAUACAUCAUCAGAGCUGUCCCUCAGUAGAACAUCUGGGACAGCUGCCUUAACGCUUCUGCUUGGGGGGAGGGGAGAGUCUAUUUGCAUCGUGUCUUAAUUCCUCAUUUUGUUACAUCGUUAAAAUUUAAUUUGAAAAAUUCUUUUCAUGAUAACCUAAGGAACCAUGAAUGAUGCCCUAAUAUGCAGACUCCUUUCAAGUAGACUCGUCCUAAGUAGCCUUCCCAGGUCCAUAGCCCAUUUGGGUCAGCCCUGAACUAGGUCUUGCCUUGCUGGCCAGCCUGGUGCCCCGGCAUGGCAGAUGCACCAUGGCUGGCACUGGACCCAGCUGCCUGAGCUCUAAUCCUAGCUCCACUAUUUCCUGGCCACAUGAUUGGGCAAGUUACUUGGCUUCUUUGUAACUCAGUUUCCUUGUUUAUAGUACUAGGGUAAUAAUAGUCCCCACUUCAUAAACUUGUUAUGAGAAGUAAAUGAAGUAAACUAUGUACAGCUCUUAGAUGAGUGUCUGGUACAUACUAAGUGCUUACUAAAUACUAGCUAUUAUUAGUUUUUUUUAAGGUUAAAGUAUAAAUGACAACCUGAAAAAAUAUUUGGAAUAAGUAUAAAAUACAAAAAGUUACUAUUCAUAACAUAGGACAAACUCUUAUAAAUAUAAUAGAAGAAGGAAAUCGAGGGGUGCCUGGGUGACUCAGUUGGUUGAGCAUCUGACUUUGGCUCAGGUCAUGAUCUCAUGGUUCGUGAGUUCGGGCCCUGCAUCAGGCUCACUGCUGUCAGCUCAGGGUCUGCUUCAUGUCCUCUGUCCCCCUCUCUCUCUGCCUCUCUCAACCUCUCUCUCUCUUUCAAAAAUAAAUAAACAUUUAAAAAGAAGAAGAAAAUCCAAGAGAAAAAAUGAUCAAAAGAUAUGGGAAAGCAUUUUAGAAAAUAACUGAAAAUUACUAAUGAAGAAAAAAGUGCCCACCUCAGUUGUAAUAAAAGAAAUGCAACUUAAAACAAUUACAAUGUGCCAUAUGUUGCCCUCAGACUUAAAACCAUUUUCAUAUUGGUGAGAACAUGAGGGCACUCCCAUAUACUGUUAGUGAAAAUAGAAAUUAGCAAAAGUCUCUGUGGAGAGCAAUGAGCUAGUACCUCCCAAAUUUUAAAUACAUGCUACCAGACAGACUAACUACAUAUCCCAAGGAUCAUACACUUCCUAUAUUUGCUUAUCCCAGAGAGGACCAUUGACCCUUCUUAAAAAAUGCCCACUCAGUCUCCAAGAUUUCAUUUGUGGUCUGCACCUCAAAUUCUCUAAUUCCUCUCUAAAACUUAUCAGGAGAUCAUGCAUCUUUAAAUUAAUAAACAGAUUUUCCUGCUUAGUCGCGAAAUUAAAUCUAUCUUUCAUUUGAAAAUCUAAAUCCGGGCAUGGUCCACUUUUUCUGUAAAAGGCCAGACAGUAAAUGUUUCCAGUUCUGAGAGCCAUACAAUCUCUGUCACAAUUACUCAACUUUGCUGUUGUAGCACAAAAGCCACUACUGACAAUAUGUAAAUGAACGAGUGUAGUUGUGUUCCAAUAAAACUUUAUUUGUGCACGUUUAAAUUGAGCUUUGUGGGGCGCCUGGGUGGCUCAGUCGGUUGGGCUUCCGACUUCGGCUCAGGUCGUGAUCUCGCGGUCCGUGGUUUCGAGCCCCGCGUUGGUCUCUGUGCUGACAGCUCAGAGCCUGGAGCCUGUUUCAGAUUCUGUGUCUCCCUCUUUCUCUGACCCUCCCCUUUUCAUGCUCUCUGUCUCAAAAAUAAAUAAAUGUUAAAAAAAAUUUUUUUAAUUGAGCUUUGUAUUAUUUUCAUGUGUCACAAAGUAUCAUUCUUCUGAUCUUUUUCAACUAUUAAAAAGUGUAAAAAAGGGGCGCCUGGGUGGCUCAGUCGGUUGGGCGGCCGACUUCGGCUCAGGUCGUGAUCUCAUGGUCCGUGGGUUCGAGCCCCGCGUGGGGCCUGUGCUGACGGCUCAGAGCCUGGAGCCUGCUUCGGAUUCUGUGUCUCCCUCUCUCUCUGCCCCUCCCCUGUUCAUGCUCUGUCUCUCUCUGUCUCAAAAAUAAAUAAACGUUAAAAAAAAUUUUUUUAAAAAGUGUAAAAAAGA